rnacentral:rRNA from 1 species
AGUUUGAUCCUGGCUCAGGACGAACGCUGGCGGCGUGCCUAAUACAUGCAAGUCGAACGCUUCUUUUCCCACCGGAGCUUGCUCCACCGGGAAAAGAGGAGUGGCGAACGGGUGAGUAACACGUGGGUAACCUGCCCAUCAGAAGGGGAUAACACUUGGAAACAGGUGCUAAUACCGUAUAACAAUCGAAACCGCAUGGUUUCGUUUUGAAAGGCGCUUUACGGUGCCGCUGAUGGAUGGACCCGCGGUGCAUUAGCUAGUUGGUGAGGUAACGGCUCACCAAGGCCACGAUGCAUAGCCGACCUGAGAGGGUGAUCGGCCACAUUGGGACUGAGACACGGCCCAAACUCCUACGGGAGGCAGCAGUAGGGAAUCUUCGGCAAUGGACGAAAGUCUGACCGAGCAACGCCGCGUGAGUGAAGAAGGUUUUCGGAUCGUAAAACUCUGUUGUUAGAGAAGAACAAGGGUGAGAGUAACUGUUCACCCCUUGACGGUAUCUAACCAGAAAGCCACGGCUAACUACGUGCCAGCAGCCGCGGUAAUACGUAGGUGGCAAGCGUUGUCCGGAUUUAUUGGGCGUAAAGCGAGCGCAGGCGGUUUCUUAAGUCUGAUGUGAAAGCCCCCGGCUCAACCGGGGAGGGUCAUUGGAAACUGGGAGACUUGAGUGCAGAAGAGGAGAGUGGAAUUCCAUGUGUAGCGGUGAAAUGCGUAGAUAUAUGGAGGAACACCAGUGGCGAAGGCGGCUCUCUGGUCUGUAACUGACGCUGACGCUCGAAAGCGUGGGGAGCAAACAGGAUUAGAUACCCUGGUAGUCC